GGAUGGGCCCGCGGCGCAUUAGCUAGUUGGUAGGGUAAAGGCUUACCAAGGCAAUGAUGCGUAGCCGAACUGAGAGGUUGAUCGGCCACAUUGGGACUGAGACACGGCCCAAACUCCUACGGGAGGCAGCAGUAGGGAAUCUUCCACAAUGGGCGAAAGCCUGAUGGAGCAACGCCGCGUGGGUGAAGAAGGUCUUCGGAUCGUAAAACCCUGUUGUUAGAGAAGAAAGUGCGUGAGAGUAACUGUUCACGUUUCGACGGUAUCUAACCAGAAAGCCACGGCUAACUACGUGCCAGCAGCCGCGGUAAUACGUAGGUGGCAAGCGUUAUCCGGAUUUAUUGGGCGUAAAGGGAACGCAGGCGGUCUUUUAAGUCUGAUGUGAAAGCCUUCGGCUUAACCGGAGUAGUGCAUUGGAAACUGGGAGACUUGAGUGCAGAAGAGGAGAGUGGAACUCCAUGUGUAGCGGUGAAAUGCGUAGAUAUAUGGAAGAACACCAGUGGCGAAAGCGGCUCUCUGGUCUGUAACUGACGCUGAGGUUCGAAAGCGUGGGUAGCAAACAGGAUUAGAUACCCUGGUAGUCCACGCCGU
rnacentral:rRNA from 1 species